CCACCUGGGGAGUACGGUCGCAAGGCUGAAACUUAAGGGAAUUGGCGGGGGAGCACACAAGGGGUGGAGGCUGCGGUUCAAUUGGAUUCGACGCCGGAUACCUCACGAGGGUUGACAGCAGAAUGAAGGUCACUCUAACGGGGUUACCUGACGCGCUGAGAGGUGUUGCAUGGCCAUCGUCAGCUCGUACCUUGAGGCGUGCCGUUAAGUCGGUUAACGAGCGAGACCCACGCUACUAGUUGCCACCGUAAUUUGUAUUUUGGAGCAAUCCAGGAAAUGAAUUACGAGCACUCUAGUAGGACCGCUGGUGCAAAAUCAGAGGAAGGUGUGGGCAACGAUAGGUCCGUAUGGCCCGGAUAUCCUCGGCUACACGCGGCCUACAAUGACUGGGACAAUGUGAUGCAACUCCGAAAGGAGAAGCUAAUCACCCAAACCCAGCCCUAGUUCGGAUUGAGGAUUGUAACUCGUCCUCAUGAAGCCGGAAUCCCUAGUAAGCGAAAGUCACUAUCUUUCGCUGAAUACGUCCCUGCUCUUUGCACACACUGCCUGUCAAGCCAUGCAAGUGGGUUCUUGGUGAGGCUUAACUUUAAUUAAGUCGAGCCAGGGGUCUGUGAGUGGGGCUAAGUCAUAACAAGGUAGCCGUACGGGAACGUGCGGCUGGAUCACCUCCUUAC
rnacentral:rRNA from 1 species